AUCUGGACUGAGCAGAUAGACUUCUCAAAAUGGGGUUCCCUGCUCAGCUCCUGGGGCUGCUGAUGCUCUGGAUCCCUGGCUCCAGUGGGGAUGUUGUAUUGAUGCAGACCCCACUCUCCCUGCCCGUCAGCCCUGGAGAGCCGGCCUCCAUCUCCUGCAGGUCCAGUGAGAGCCUCCUGCACAGUGAUGGAAACACAUAUUUGCAUUGGUACCUCCAGAAACCAGGCCAGGCUCCUCGGCGCCUGAUCUAUAAGGUUUCCAACCGAGACUCUGGGGUCCCAGACAGGUUCAGUGGCAGUGGGUCAGGGACAGAUUUCACCCUCAAGAUCAGCAGGGUGCAGGCUGACGAUGCUGGAGUUUAUUACUGCCACCAAGGUACAAAACGUCCUCACAUAGUGAUACAGCCCUGAACACAAACCUCCCUGCCCGGGUGGCCCAGCUGCCCAAAUACAUUGUUUAAUCUGGGGAGCAGGCAUGGCCAAUUCUCUGAGUUUGCUUAAGAGGAGGAUGUUGGGGAAUCAGGGGGAGAGGUGGCAGCUGAGGGCCCUGGACCAUACAGGCCUUGGCUACACAUCUGCCACCACAUGUGAUGGCCCAGCAGCUGCACGGCCCUGGCGUGGCAGAAGCCCCAGGAGGCGUGGGCCCACCUGCCCUCUGAGCGCCACACCUGCUGAGAGGGGGAGUUCAUCACCUCGUGUGGAAGCUCAUC